AUUGAACGCUGGCGGCAGGCUUAACACAUGCAAGUCGAGCGAGCGGCGGACGGGUGAGUAAUGUCUGGGAAACUGCCUGAUGGAGGGGGAUAACUACUGGAAACGGUAGCUAAUACCGCAUACCAUCAGAUGUGCCCAGAUGGGAUUAGCUAGUAGGUGGGGUAAUGGCUCACCUAGGCGACGAUCCCUAGCUGGUCUGAGAGGAUGACCAGCCACCCUGGGAAUGAGAAACGGUCCCGACUCCUACGGGAGGCAGCCGGGGGGAAUAUUGCACAAUGGGGGCAAGGCUGAGUCCGCCCAUCCGGGUGGUUGAAGAAGGCCUUUGGGUUGUAAAGGAAUUUCAGCGGGGAGGCCUUACUCGCAGAAGAAGCAACGACUAACUCCGGGCCAGCCGCCGCGGUAAUAC
rnacentral:rRNA from 1 species